UCUCGCUCAGUAAACAUGGCGGAUGGCUAACGGCUGCAUAUAGAAGACUUUGGAUACCUCUUUCAGAAACAACACGUGUCUUUAUUUACUUCUGAUACGCUGAGCAGCGCGUGCGGGGCUUUGUGCUCUUAAGGGAUUGUUUUCUUUAUUAAAAGGUGAAGGAGACGCAGCGACACAAUGGGGCGACGCUCGACCUCCUCCACCAAGAGUGGGAAGUUCAUGAAUCCCACCGACCAGGCCAGAAAGGAGGCCAGGAAAAGGGAGUUAAAAAAGGUAAACAUCAGACA